UGAACUGGAAUCCGGAGGAAACUGAAAUCGAGCAGACAACAAGAAACGUUCUUCCACAGCGCUUGUCUGCAAUAUUCAACAGAUUGAAUCGCAGGAAAAUAGGUUGUAUUGAUCCAGUUGGGCUAUUCCAUCAGGGCUAUUAUUAUUCAUAACAUUCCACCGACAGUUUGCCCUUUAUGCGGUUCCACGGCCCAGACUGCAAAGCAGGAAGUGUCCAACUUGGGGUCAACAUAGAGGGACGUGGUGACAUGGGCCGGAGGGAACAGACUGACAAGACGCCCUCAGACCCCAUUGUAUCACACACACACACACCCUGUAUACGCAAACACUUCCCUUCCCACACUCAAACUUAUCUGACAAGAGAAACCUCCAGCUAUUUCCUCUCUUCCUAUUAUUAAGUGUUUUUUUCUCCUUCUUGCUUUCAUUACUCCUGUUUUUAUUCGGCAGAGACAGUAACUCUUAAAUCAGGUUAUGGAAGAGGAAGGAAGAGGAGCGGUUGGCAGACUUUAUUAACCUGUCUCACGGCGCGAAGGGACCGCUGGCAGGAAGACAAGCGAGGCAGACGGUGCUGACUCUGAUGCUGACUGCCUCGCAGAGUGAUUACCUCAGAGAAGGCCAGAUGGGAAAGAAUAAAUGGAGGCUGGAGGGGAGAUGAAAUAAAAUAAAAGGCCUUAUGUGAAGAGGCAAGUGCCGACUCCACAGCCCGAGAUUAUUCAAGCUGCUCGGAAAACAUACCCGAGUUCCCGAAGGAAUAGCUUCACUCAAGGAAAAGUGCCAUCUACAAGAAUGCUUUUGUGAAAAGGAAAUGUACUGUGUGUGUGUGUGCGUGUGUCUUUGCAGAUGGCAGGGUAAGUGAAGCACAGUUCUGCACGAUUACGAUCCAACUCUGUUGCCCCCACACUGCUAGGUCACCAGUGACUGUUGUUUCGCGAAGUUUUCCUUCAGCCGUGAUUAAAUAUGAAUAUAGCCAUUAGCCCUGUAGACUACAUCAACAUUCAGAAACAGAAACACUUGCACAGAUGGACAGAAUAAGGCGCGGAGGCUCCAAGUAUCCUCCCCUGUGCGCACUUAUGUCUUUUUAAACAACUGUCUGUAAACCCUAAAAGGUGCCAAAUAAAGUUUUAAUCAAAAUACAUAAUUGAGUAUGUGAAGAAUCGUGAACAUGUCUAUACAGUAAGCCUUGCUGCUAUUUGCUUGAUUGUAAUAACAUAUUUGUAAAAAUCAGCGUUAAAAUAAAUAGACUUAACAAACUGUCUGGCGGUUGGCUAUAUCACUGCUCCAAAAAUCAAACGACAGGCUUGCUUAUCCCAUUCAGGUGCUUAGACUAGAAUUGUUCAAUCUUAUUCAACCUGGACAGCUAGGCCUACCUUCCUGUAGGUUAUUUGCUCUAACACCAGUUAUAAAUAACCUGAUUUAACAGGUUAAGAAAGUUAUUAUUCAAAUCCGGUGUGCUUGAUUAAAGUUGGAGCAAAAAAGUAUGGAAAGUUAGCUGUCCAGCAAACCGGGUAGGUGACCAUGCAUUUUGCCCAGAGAACAAUUACAUGGAAAAAAAGUUGAUGUAGUGCGCCCUCGUGUGGCUCACGCCGUACAAUCAAUUCAAUCGUUAUGUUUACGGUUGCUAGGCGACCUCAAGACUGAAAUAAAGUUUCCGAUUGAUAGCUAGCUAGCAACUUUCGCUACUUCGUAGCCUUACGCCUGGGGUCAUCCAGCUACAAAUUCGCAGAGCUAAAACGGGACGUUUUGUUCUGGGUUUGGUUUUUGAUCUACUUUUACAAAGUCUAGACAACAAAACAAGGAUGGCGGGUAAACAUGAGAAGACUACAGUGGAUAUCGUCCAUCAAAACUCAAUUCAUAUCGAAACCAUCAAGAAAGAGCAGAGGUGCCAGAAGCUGUACACACGAUUUAGCAUCAACCCAUUCAAGAAACUCCACGUUUUGACUGACAAGCCCAUGUCCAAGAACACGCACGAGGAGGUAGAAGAAGACCCUGCUUUUCUGAAGGCCAUUCACGAUGCAUGCUUGGAACCAACCAAGAAAUACCCUCAGCCCCAGACUGAGAGCCAAGAAAUCGGAUGGAUAUCCAAGCCUCUGGUAUUAAGUGUUUAGUGAAAGAUUGCUACAGACCGCAGUGAUCGAAGGCUGAACUUUUCACGUCAGAACACGGAAAUCACCAAGUACAUGGAUGCGGCAUGGCGUCUGAAGGAGCAGACCCAGAAUUUGAGCUAGAUGUCAUCGGAUAGCUAUCACACACUUGUGCUAACUUCAUUAGUCAACAUAAACGGAGAAAUAUCAGAGAAUAUAUGGCUAUGAAGCAUGUUUGAUGAUUAAAGGAAAAAUCAAUGUUCAGAAAACAUUGAGGCUUGAUUAGGGAACACUUUAUCAAAGGAGAUGCAGGUGAAAAUCACUGGCACCAGGUGUAUAGUAUUUUCAUGUUGCCAUGUGUGAAAAAAUAUAGAUUUAUCCAGAUCCAUACAACACUUUCUCAUUGAAUAUUAAUCAUUUUGAUAAAGGGAAAGGGCAAAAAUGACAGAAGUUCAAUAUUACAAAAUGUCGCACCACAUAAGGUCGGGAAUCGGGUUAAGGAGAGAGCUGAAUGCAAAAUGUUUAAUUCAUAAAAAUCUCUAAUCCACUAUUGAAGCCUUAAACAAGAAGAAUGUUUACUGGAAACUAGUCACUACAGUAAUAUGCAACAGUAUGGAAUCCAUGCCUUUCCAAAAACGAACAAUAAAAGCAAACAAAAACAUAAUUAUCUCUUGCUUGUCCGAUUCCAUGUUUGUUUAUAAAACAGCACGAGAAAAAAUGUCCGGAGUAAUAUUGAACUUGUGGUGGAAUGGAGGUUUCCUCUCUGAAUUUGCACUGACACUCAAAACAAAUAUAAUAUAACAAAAUGUCCACAUAGCACAGCCUGCACGGCAGUCUCUCUGGUGAACCCCCCCCCCCCCCC